UUCCCUUGUCUCCAGGGCCACUGUGGGCACCCAGCCUGGGUUUCCAAUAGCUCUCCCAUCUGAUCGCCCUCCUCUCUCUCUGCAGCAUCUCUGGGAGCAUGGGGAAAUGUGUUUCUUUCAUACCUCAUUGCCCCGCUGUGGCUCCUCAGUGCUCUCAGGCAGCCGUGAGGCCUGUGAGUCCUUCCUAACCCAGUCCACAGCCUUACUUCACUACCCCUCUGCUCGCUGUGCUGUCCUGCCUGUGGUUCAUCAGUUCCCCAGGCAGAACUGCUCUGCUCUCAGCAAUAGGUGGCCAGCCUGAAGCAUUUUGUUUUGUUUGCCUACUUUACUUGGUUUGAUUUACAUGUUUUUAUUUUGUUUGAGUUGGGGACUUACUGUGUAGUCAGUCUAGACUGGCCUCUAAGAUGUACUCUUCUGCCUCAGCCUCCUGAGUACUGAAAUGGUUCUAUCACCAGUCUUUUUUCUUUUGUGUUUCAAGACAGGGCCCUAGCUAUCCUGGAACUCACUCUGUAGACCAGGCUGGCCCUGAACUCACAGAGAUUUGCCUGCUUCUGCCUCCCGAGUGCUGGGAUUAAAGGCGUGCACCAGCACACUUGGCUUAUUUGAUUGUCUUUUAAAGUUAUUUUCAAAUUUAUUUAUUUAUUUGGCAUGCGUACCUGUGUGUGUGUGUGUGUGUGUGUGUGUGUGUGUACAGGUGUGCAUGUGCUGUGGCAUGCCUGUGGAGGUCAGUGGACAAUGGUUCUUUUCUUUACCUUGUUGAGGCAGAGUCCCCUUGGUGUCUGCUGCUGUGCUGUGUGUACUCCAGGCUGGAUUACAGAUGUGCAUGUGCGCGAUUACAGAUGUGCAUGUGGGCUUCCACUCUUGGCGUUUUCACUUGGGUUCCAGGAUCAAGCUCCGGUUGUCUGGCUUGUGUAGCAAGAGCUUUUUCCUGCCCUGCCCUCUUACCAGCCCUUGCCUGUCUUAUUGUUUUACAUUUUGGUGUAGACACGGCAUCCUUUUGAAAGACUGGAUUCUUUUCAUUUUUGGUGGGCCAGGUACUGUCCUUGCUGGGUCAGGCACUGUCCCUGGCUGUCUAACCUCUACUACUUGCCUCGUCAUUCCUUGAUCAUAUAUCCCUGUAGCUGCCGACAUUCUUGUCUGCUGUCUCCUACAGGUAGUCAGUUUUGGGGGUCAGGGCUACAUCUCUUUGCAAUAAUUAAUACUCAAUAUAAAUGUUUCCUCUCUUUUAAAAAUCUAUGCUGGGGUGUAGGGUGGGGCUGGAGAGAUGGUUCAGUGGUUAAGAGCACUGACUAUUCUUCCAGAGGUCUCGAGUUCCAUUCCCAGCCCCCACCUGGAUGCUGACAACUGUCUGUAACUUCAGUUCCAGGAGAAUCCCACACCUUCUGCCAGCCUCCAUAGGCACUGAAUGUACAUGGUGCACAGGCAUACAUAGUACCUGAAUUCAGUCUCUGGCACCCAGUCAUCACCCACCCAUCUACAAUUCCAGGUCUGGGGAUCUCUGUCCUCCUCUGACCUCCAUGGGCACCAGGCACACACAUGGUGCACAUAUAUGCAUUCAGGCAAAGCACUCAUACACAUAAAAUUAAUCUUGAAAAAAAUAUUUUUUAAAAGCUCAUGUGGCUGACUGCUGUAAUCCUAGAAUUCAGGAGACUGAAGCAGAAGGUUUACUGUGAAUUUGAGGACACACUGGUCUGCAGAGUGAGCACCAGGCCAGCCAGGUCUACAGAAUGAGGCCAUGUCUCAAAAAGUUAAAACCAAACUUAACCAAAACAACCAAAAAAUUCAGUUCCUCGGUCAUCUUUGAUAUACCUGAAAUGUCCACUGAUAGAUCUGCCCAGCUCACAGUUGCGUUGGUAGACAGCUAUAAACAGUUCCAGUAUGGCAGAGUGUCACUUUGGAUGGUACAGGCAUAGACUAUGGCACAACCAUUACAGACAGUCCUCUUAACUCUCUUACAUACUCCCAACAAUGGGAGCUCAUCACCUCAUAAGGCAACCUGUCUCAAUCCUGACAAAUGUGUGUUUAAUUAAAAAAAAAUCUAAGCCUAGUAUGGCGAACA